GAGGGGCUAAAUAAAAAUAGAUAAAUAAAAUUCGCAGUGGUAUCACCUUCUCCUUUUUUUAAAAUCGUAAAUAAAUAAAAAAUAAUCGAAUAAAAAAAAUAGUAAGCCACCUUUAAAAAACUGCCAAUCGUUCUCUUUUUUUAUUAUUUCUCCUCCCUCCCUUUUCUCUCUUUUUUUUUACAAUGAAGGGAGAGGCCUCUAUUUAUAGCUGAGCCUCCCCAAAUCCAACGGUACAGAUCAGUUACAUCAACG
rnacentral:lncRNA from 1 species